rnacentral:rRNA from 1 species
UACAGAGGGUGCGAGCGUUGUCCGGAAUCACUGGGCGUAAAGGGCGCGUAGGCGGCUUGAUAAGCGUGCGGUGAAAGCCCGGGGCUCAACCCCGGGUCGGCCGUGCGAACUGUCGAGCUGGAGCACUGUAGAGGCAGGUGGAAUUCUGGGUGUAGCGGUGGAAUGCGUAGAGAUCCGGAAGAACACCGGUGGCGAAGGCGGCCUGCUGGGCAGUGGCUGCGCUGAGGCGCGACAGCGUGGGGAGCAAACAGG